CUUGGGAGAUAGAUGGGAGGCAUCUUAUAGGGAUGGCCACUUUCAGUCCUUAUGGCCACCCUAAAAAGAUGCUGUUAUCAUCUCUUUAACAGAAAAGGAAACUUGGGUCAAAAUCCCUAAGUUGACAGUGGCCCCAUGCUUGACUCCUUCCUGUACCACCUCCCAGUCCUUAUCAACCUGUGACAUGGGGAUGGAGUUGAGUGGAAGGAAAGAAGGCCUAGAAUAUAGGGCUGAGAAGGGGCAGCCUCAGGUGUGGGAGGAGCAUUUGUGAGCAGGAGUCACCACCUCCACAUCCACAUAAAUUGUGGCUCUUAAAGCUGCCAGGUGUGACCACCAAUCAUUUGUCCAUUCUAGUUGGGCACCUGCCAUAUGCAGGGCUUAUGUACCAGGACCCAGAGAUUACGUUUCUAUCCCUGGGCAGUACUCUGGAGCCAACAUAAUGAGUGCCACAUGACAUAAGGGAGGAGUUACUUAGGACAGGGAAGGGGCAGCCAGUACUGGGCUGGGGUAAGAGAGGGAGCCUUUAAAAAAAAGAGUAGAAAUCAGCCAGUCAAAAGAUGAUGGGUGGUAAGUUUCUGGCAGAGGGAGCCAAGUGGGCCUUUGUGGGCUGCUGAGAAACGGUGGGUGCAGUAGACAGAGUCAAGAGGACAGGCCUGUGCCUAGGCAGCCCAGGAAUCAGAGGCCCUGAAGGCAGGCCUGUGGGUUUCCAAGCCUAAGGAACCUGGGGCCAGACCCGCCCACAGUCUCCUUGGACCUCGCUGCGAACUGGACCGGGAACAUUCCAGGCUAAUCGCAGCUCAGAUCGGCAGCUCCAGCUCCAGAGGCUCUGCCUCAGGACCUCCUACACCCGGGAGCCAGCUCGGGUAGGCGCAGCCUGCUGGAGUCGGGGCGGCGGGGUCCUCAGAUUGACCCA
rnacentral:lncRNA from 1 species